CCUACGGGGUGCAGCAGUGGGGAAUAUUGGACAAUGGGCGAAAGCCUGAUCCAGCCAUGCCGCGUGUGUGAAGAAGGCCUUCGGGUUGUAAAGCACUUUCAGUGGGGAAGAAAGCCUUGGGGCUAAUACCCUCGAGGAAGGACAUCACCCACAGAAGAAGCACCGGCUAACUCCGUGCCAGCAGCCGCGGUAAUACGGAGGGUGCGAGCGUUAAUCGGAAUUACUGGGCGUAAAGCGCGCGUAGGCGGUCUGAUAAGCCGGUUGUGAAAGCCCCGGGCUCAACCUGGGAACGGCAUCCGGACCUGUCAGGCUAGAGUGCAGGAGAGGAAGGUAGAAUUCCCGGUGUAGCGGUGAAAUGCGUAGAGAUCGGGAGGAAUACCAGUGGCGAAGGCGGCCUUCUGGACUGACACUGACGCUGAGGUGCGAAAGCGUGGGUAGCAAACAGGAUUAGAUACCCGAGUAGUC
rnacentral:rRNA from 1 species